CGGGAAAAUCUUAUCUGAUUCAGGAUCAAUUCAUCGGUUACACUCCCCUGUCACCAGUGAUUCUUUUUUGCUGACAUUCUGAAAAAGUAUUGUGUAGACUAGUCCCUGUGUAAGUGUUGACUCUCAACUUGCACAUGUGAUUUUUUAACACUCCCUGGACUUCUGCAAAAACAGAAAGUUCACAGGACAUUCGACAAAAAGUCACAGGACAACAUGUCAAACUCAGGCAUAAAGUAAACAAAGUUAAUAGGACAAAAAGUCACAAACAAUUUGUUGACAAUUGAUUGAAUAUAAAUGAAAAAAAGAUUUUGAAAUAUCUUCUUUUUAUUACAUAUAUUCAUUUUUAAUUUUAGGAAAUUGUUCAUAAUAUAAAAAAGAAGAUGUGGUAUGAUUGCCAAUGAGACAACUGUCCACAAGAGACCAAAAUGACACAGACAUUAACAACUAGAGGUCUUUACGGCCUUCAACCAUAAGCCAAUAUAAAGAAGGUAUGGUAUGAUUGCCAAUGAGACAACUGUCCACAAGAGACCAAAAUGACACAGACAUUAACAACCAUAGGUCACCAAACAGCCUUCAACAAUGAGCAAAGCCCGAGGUAAAGCCCAUACCGCAUAGUCAGCUGUAAAAGGCAAUCAUACUAUAUCUUUUUUUUUUUAUAUUACAUGUUAAAAAAUGCGUGCAAAUGUAAUCAAAAGCUGCACACAAAAACGUAAUGAUUUUUGUGCGCAAAUGUAAUGGUAAUGUGCGCAAACCUAAUGCACUGAUUUAUUUGUUUUUAAUAAAUUUUUAAUUUAAAGUUGCUACAUCAUGUUCAUGUAUAAAACUUCAAGAAAAAAUACAAAAAGAGUGUUUUCUUGUUCAAAGAAAAAUAAUCUCAAAACUAAAUUGUGACUUUUUGUCCUGUGACAGUGUGUGACUUUUUGACUGUGACUUUCUGUCCUGCAUUCAGAUUGAAUAGGGGAGUUUGGUUGACCCCGCCUCCCUCUAUCUGAGACUACUAUCUCAGUGAUGAGCUUUAUGUUUCAUGUACAAAUGUAUUGUGCUUGUCAUAUAUAUGUAUGUCGGAUAAAAGCUCUACAGACCUUUAAUAUGUUGUAUUGUUAUAUGUAUAACCGACAAUAAAUAAAUAGCCCCUAACAAGUAAGAAUUAGGUUACUUCUUUUUGUUUUGACAUCUUGCAUGGGUUUUUAUAGCCCCGUAUUAAAAUUAUGCCCCCACUUUAAAAAAGGGGGGGGGGGGGGUAUACUGUUUUACCCCUGUCUGUCCAUCCAUCCUUGCGUCAGUCAGUCCGUCCGAUGAAUAUUUUUCGUCCCAUUUUCCUUAGGAACUACAAUAGAAGGAUUUCUGAAAUUUGGUUUCAGGGUUAAAUAAGUCAGCUAUACCGUGUGAUGCAUUUUCAGAUUCAUCACUCGACAACUUCCUGUUUUCCCAACACUUGUAUGAUUUUACACAUGAUAGCCAAGUUGAAAGUUGAAAACUAACAACCUAAUUUAUGUACAAAAAAAUUGAAAAACAGAUAUGUUACACAUAAACAAACGACAAUCACUGAAUUAUCGGAUCCUGACUUGGAACAGGCACAACCAUAACAAAUUGGCAGGGUAUAAGGAACUUUGAAAAUAUUUAGUUUUUUUGUGGUUUGGUCAAUUUUCCGGAUACUGUAAGCAAUAAGGCCCCUUUAUUUAGUGAAUGAAAUAAUUGUAAGAUGCACUUAGCUGUCUGUCAUAUUUUAUAUGAACUUGACCUCAUUUUCAUGCAUGGUUCAUUGGUCAAUGAAACACUGCAUUGUUUUGUCAGUUUAUCAUAUGUUUAAAGUUACAGGUAGAUUAUAUUUGGUAGAUAUGAAACAAUUGUAAGGUGUGCAUGUCUGAAUGGCAGAUUCAUAUAUAAACCAUGACCGCAUUUUAUUGUUCUUUGGUCAAUGAUAAGUUUUCUUGGUUUUGUCAUUUUAUCAGGCCACAUUUAAAAGAAUGUCUGUUUCCCCUCCCCGGGUCUACCCUUUGUAAACAGACCAGGAAGGCAGGUUUUUUUUUAGCUCACCUGACCUGAAAGGUCAAGUGAGCUUUUCUCAUCACUUGGCGUUCGUCGUCUGUCGUCCUGCGUCCGUCGUCUGUAAACUUUUACAAAAAUCUUCUCCUCUGAAACUACUUGGCCAAAUUCUACCAAACUUGGCCACAAUCAUCCUUGGGGUAUCUAGUUUAAAAAAUGUGUGGCGUGACCUGUCAAACCAACCAACCAAGAUGGCCGCCAUGGCUAAAAAUAGAACAUAGGGGUAAAAUGCAGUUUUUGGCUUAUAACUCAAAAACCAAAGCAUUUAGAGCAAAUCUGACAUGGGGUAAAAUUGUUGAUCAGGUCAAGAUCUAUCUGCCCUGAAAUUUUCAGACGAAUCGGACAACCUGUUGAUGGGUUGCUGCCUGUGAAAUGGUUAUUUUAAGGAAAUUUUGCAGUUUUUGGUUAUUAUCUUGAAUACUAUUAUAGAUAGAGAUAAACUGUAAAAGCAAUAAUGUUCAGCAAAGUAAGACCUACAAAUAAGUCAACAUGAUCCAAAAUUGUCAGUCGACCCCUUAAGGAGUUAUUGCCCUUUAUAGUCAAUUUUUAACAACUUUUCAUAAUUUUUUUGUAACUUUUUUAAAAAUCUUCUUCUCUGAAACUACUUUGCCAAAUUUAACCAAACUUGGCCACAAUUAUCAUUGUGGUUUGUAGUUUAAAAAAUGUGUCCGAUGACUCAGCCUACCAAACAAAAUGGCCGACAUGGCUAAAAUUAGAACAUAGUGGUAAAAUGCAGGUUUUGCUUUAUAUCUUUGAAACUAAGACAUUUAGGGCAAAUCUUUCAAGAUUUAAAUGUCCAUCAGAAUAAGAUAUAUCCCCUCACAAAUUUUCAGUUGAAUUGGACAACCUGUUGUUGGGUUGCUGCCCUAAAAUUGGUGAUUUUAAGGUAAUUUUGCAGUUUUUGGUUAUUAUCUUGAAUACUAUUAUAGAUAGAGAUAAACUGUAGACAGCAAUAAUGUUCAGCAAAGUAAGAUCUACAAAUAAGUCAGCAUGAUCAAAAUUGUUAGAGGACCCCUUAAGGAGUUAUUGCCCUUUAUAGUCAAUAUUGAACAACUUUUCGUCAUUUUUGUAACUUGUAUAAAAAUCAUUUCUAAAACUACUUGGCCAAAUUUAACCAAACUUGGCCACAAUCAUAAUACUAGGGUAUCUAUUUAAAAAAAAAAGUGUCUAAUGACCCCGCCUACCAACGAAGAUGGCCGACAUCAGUAAACACAUUAACAGGUGAGCGACACAGGCUCUUGAGAGCCUCUAGUUUUUUUUAACUGGAUGUGAUUGUCAUAGCAUGGUCACAUGAAUGGUUUGACUUGUCCAGUCCAGGCCACUUAUCAGUUGUUUGUGCUCAAUUUGAGUGUAUUUAUUUAGAUUAUCAAUCCUUCUGCUUUCAAGCACUUUCCAAAAAUGGAAACAAAUUAUUUUCAGGAAAAAAAUAAUUUCGAUUUUUUUGUGGAAAAUAAUUUUUUUGACCCGGGCGCUUAUUUUUGACCCGUGUGGGGGGAGGGGAAACAAACAUAUUUUUAAUUUUGGCCUUAGAUUUUUUAAGCAUAGGUCUACUUGUUGUAUGGAAUGACUACAAGGUAUCAAUAUAAAAAAGAUGUCUGCCUGCCAAGGUUAAUUUUACUGUGACCUCAUAUUCAUAGAAUAAUGAUAAUAUUCAUGAUAUUGAACAGCAAGAAUGAUGAGUAAGUUGAUGUUAUAUACAAAUAAGACAAAAUUUUCAGUUGCCUACUAAUUAUGUAAUACAUGUAGUAGUUAUUUUUGUCAUUAAAUGAUGUUUACCCUUUUAUGUGUAGGGCAAGAACAUGAAAGAUAAAGGGGAAACUAUAAACAGAAGAAAUUAUCAACAAAAUAAGAUUUACAGAGGUCAACAAAGCCUAAAUGGUAAGUCCACUGUUAUAAAAAUUUUUUUUGUCCUUGAAUAAUAAUUAAAUAUUUAUUAAAAUAAGAUGUGGUAUGAUGAAAGAGAAAACUAUCCAUCAGAGUUCAAUUUAGUGGAUGUAAGCAUUGUAAUUACUUAUUAGAGGCCAUUGAUGACCUGUAAGUAAUGAGAAAACCCAUACCCUAUACAUGUUAUAGUAAUCUAUAAAAGUCAACACUAACCAAAUUUGAAACAGAGCAUCAAUUCAAACGUCAAAUAUACCAGACUAAUUUAUAAAAACAAAAAAUUAUGAAAAAUAAAAAUGACGGGUAUGAACCAACAUCAACCACUGAACUAUGUACAAGCUCCUGAUAUUAGACAGGUAUAAUAUGGCUGGGUUGAUAUAAAAAUAAGAAACACUUAGCAGUCUGAUUUCCAAUGAGACAUUUCUCCAAUAGAGAUCAAAUGACAUUUAAGGAGGCUCUAGGGUAUAACAAUUUCAGAAAAAUGUUUUAAUAUUUUUUUUUUCAUAACUCAAUUUAUUUAUAUCUUUAUCAUAUGGUACACCAAAUCAUUCAAAACAAUCAAUUCGGUUUGGCCCCAGAUGACUUUUAAAAUGCAUAUAUCAUUGAAAAAGCUCCAAAUUAUCUCCCUUUGGUGCAAAAAAGCCAUUUUUUUGGCAUUAAAAAUGUAAUAUCUUAUUUAACUCAUCGGUGGCCUAUAUUUUUUAUUAUAAUUUUAAAUAAGCUGUACUUUAACUAAACUAUUAUAAAAUUUAAGCGAUUUCUGUAAUUUAGUACUUGAAUAUUUAAAUGAAAGUUUAUCAUAUUAAUCAUAAACAUGAUAAAAUAGCCAUUUUAUUGAUCUCUUCACUGAUAAUUUUUGAGUUUGUGUAUUUGUAGGUCAGAAAUCUGGAUUUUCAUGGUCAUCAUUCACAGAUCAAUACUGAACGGAAAACUUAAAGCUGAUAUUUUUCUCCAUAGUGCGAC
rnacentral:lncRNA from 1 species